AUUCUUGCGCAGUGGCAGUAUCGUAGCCUAUGAGGUUUAUCCGAGGCGCGAUUAUUGCUAGUUGAAAACUUUAAAGAAAAAGAAAAGAAUGCCGCACACUCUGCUCCAUGUUUUAAUGGUGAAGUGACGUUUCGGCCGUC